rnacentral:rRNA from 1 species
GAUGAACGCUGGCGGCGUGCCUAAUACAUGCAAGUCGAGCGAACGGACGAGAAGUUUGCUUGUCUGAUGUUAGCGGCGGACGGGAGAGUCACAUGUGUAUAACCUACCUAUAAGACUGGGAUAAUUUCGGGAAACCGGAUCUUAUACCGGAUAAUAUUCUGAACCGCGUUGUUCCAAAGUGAGAUUCGGUCUUUGUGUCAGUAAUAGAUGGAUCCGCGCUGGAUUAGCUAGUUGGUAAGGUAACGGCUUACCAAGGCAACGAUGCAUAGCCGACCUGAGAGGGUGGUCGGCCACACUGGAAGUGAGACACGGUCCAGACUCCUACGGUAGGCAGCAGUAGGGAAUCUUACGCAAUGGGGGAGAGCCUGACGGAGCAACGCCGCGUGAGUGAUGAAGGUCUUCGGAUCGUAAAACUCUGUUAUUAGGGGAGAACAUAUGUGUAAGUAACCGUGCACAUCUUGACGGUACCUAAUCAGAAAGCCACGGCUAACUACGUG